rnacentral:tRNA from 1 species
CAUUAGGUGGCUGAAAACUUUAAGCAAUGGUCUCUUAAACCAAUUUAUAGUAUAUUAUACUUCUAAUGA